rnacentral:rRNA from 1 species
GCGUAAUAGCUCACUGGUCGAGUGACGCUGCGCCGAAGAUUCCCGGGGCUAAAACCUUACACCGAAGCUUAGGAUUCAUAGAGAUAUGAGUGGUAGAGGAGCAAUGUAUGCGGGCAGAAGCCGUAUCGAAAGGGGCGGUGGACUGCAUACAAGAGAGAAUGCCGGCAUAAGUAGCGAGAGAGAAGUGAGAAACUUUUCCGUCGAAAGCCUAAGGUUUCCUGGGGAAGGUUCGUCCGCCCAGGGUAAGUCGGGACCUAAGUUGAGGCCGAAAGGCGUAGAUGAUGGACAACGGGUAGAUAUUCCCGUACCACCGCAAUAGUUCGAAGCAGGGACACAGAAGGAUAGUCGGACUCCGGGGAUGGAAAGCCGGGGCUAAGUCAUGAGGCCGGCACGUAGUGAAGUACGCGUGUCGUGAGGCUGGGUGACGAUGGGGAGCGAAAACUAGUAGCGAAGCCGAUGAAUUCACGCUGGCGAGAAAAACUGCUAAGGUAGAUAUUGAGGUGCCCGUACCGCAAACCGACACAGGUAGGCGGCAAGAGAAUUGCAAGACGAACGGGAUAACCAUUGGUUAAGGAACUCGGCAAAAUGACCCCGUAACUUAGGGAGAAGGGGAGCCUAGCGAUAGGUCGCAGUGAAAAGGCCCAAGCGACUGUUUAUCUAAAACACAGGUCUCUGCAAAAGCGCAAGCUGAAGUAUAGGGGCUGACGCCUGCCCGGUGCUGGAAGGUCAAGGGGAAGAGUUAGGAGAAAAUCCGAAGCUUAGAACUUAAGCCCCAGUGAACGGCGGCCGUAACUAUAACGGUCCUAAGGUAGCGAAAUUCCUUGUCAGGUAAGUUCUGACCCGCAUGAAUGGCGUAACGAUUUGGGCGCUGUCUCAACCAUGGACCCGGCGAAAUUGUAGUAUAUGUGAAGAUGCAUAUUACCUGCGACUGGACGGAAAGACCCCGUAGAGCUUCACUGUAAGUUGAUAUUGAAUUUCGGUAAUAAAUGCACAGGAUAGGUGGGAGGCUGAGAAGAUGCUGCUUCGGCAGUAUCGGAGCCGACGUUGGGAUACCACCCUUUUGUUACUGGACUUCUAACGCUAUGCGCUGAGUCGCGGUGGCGGACAUUGUCAGCUGGACAGUUUGACUGGGGCGGUCGCCUCCUAAAGAGUAACGGAGGCGUUCAAAGGUUCCCUCAGGAUGGUUGGAAACCAUUCACAGAGUAUAAAGGCAGAAGGGAGCUUGACUGCGAGACCAACAAGUCGAGCAGAUACGAAAGUAGGACUUAGUGAUCCGGCGGUAGAGAAUGGAAUUGCCGUCGCUUA